rnacentral:rRNA from 1 species
GGGUGUGAAUUAGCGGCGAACGGGUGAGGAACACGUGAAGAAUCUGCCUUCAACUCUGGGAUAACUCCGGGAAACCGGGGCUAAUACCGGAUAUGAGCCUUGAUCGCAUGAUCGGGGCUGGAAAGUUUUUCGGUUGAAGAUGACUUCGCGGCCUAUCAGCUUGUUGGUGAGGUAAUGGCUCACCAAGGCGACGACGGGUAGCCGGCCUGAGAGGGCGACCGGCCACACUGGGACUGAGACACGGCCCAGACUCCUACGGGAGGCAGCAGUGGGGAAUAUUGGGCAAUGGAGGAAACUCUGACCCAGCGACGCCGCGUGAGGGAUGAAGGCCUUCGGGUUGUAAACCUCUUUCAGUAGGGAAGAAGCGAAAGUGACGGUACCUACAGAAGAAGCACCGGCUAACUAUGUGCCAGCAGCCGCGGUAAUACAUAGGGUGCAAGCGUUGUCCGGAAUUAUUGGGCGUAAAGAGCUCGUAGGUGGUUCGAUACGUCGGAUGUGAAAAUCAGGGGCUCAACCCCUGACCUGCAUCCGAUACGGUCGAGCUAGAGUUUGGUAGGGGAGACUGGAAUUCCUGGUGUAGCGGUGGAAUGCGCAGAUAUCAGGAGGAACACCGAUGGCGAAGGCAGGUCUCUGGGCCAAUACUGACACUGAGGAGCGAAAGCGUGGGGAGCGAACAGGAUUAGAUACCCUGGUAGUCCACGCCGUAAACGGUGGGCGCUAGUUGUGCGAACCUUCCACGGUUUGUGCGACGCAGCUAACGCAUUAAGCGCCCCGCCUGGGGAGUACGAUCGCAAGAUUAAAACUCAAAGGAAUUGACGGGGCCCCGCACAAGCAGCGGAGCAUGCGGCUUAAUUCGACGCAACGCGAAGAACCUUACCAAGGCUUGACAUAUACAGGGAUAUGGCAGAGAUGUCAUAGCCGCAAGGUCUGUAUACAGGUGGUGCAUGGGUGUCGUCAGCUCGUGUCGU